GCCUCCGUAGCUCAGCGGUAGAGCGGCGGUUUUGUAAACCGCAGGUCGGGAGUUCAAAUCUCUCCGGGGGCU
rnacentral:tRNA from 1 species